CACUCACAGAUGGAGCCACACUUGGUGAGCUGGACCCCAGGCAGCUGGAGCCCAGAUGGCUCAUCCCAGCUGAGCCCCUUUGUUCUUAGUUGUGGAAACUGUGGCCCAGAGAGGGUAAGGGGAUGGUCAAGCCACACAGCCAAAGUUCCAAGUGUUUCCAAGCGUCUGAGAGCCUGGCAGAAAAGGAAAGAAGCGUCCAGACUCCUCCCUCCCUCACUGCCACCCUCCUCAAGCCCCCUGACUCAGUUUCUCCCUGUGCUGGGCAGAAGCAGCCAAAUGGCUUCCUCCAGGAUGGCUGCCAAGACUGGGCGCUGUGUGAGACUCUCGUCCUCCGCCCCGGGGUGAAGGUCACCGGAAGCUGCUCAGGGGAGGACACCCACUGUUGAGGCAAAACCGGCCUGGGCUUGCUGUGUUAGCCCCUGGGUGGGCUCUGUCGCCUGCAGGAAACAUUCAGCUCCGGGCUACAGUACACACACACCCUCAGCCUGAACUUCUUGCUUCCUGCCUCAGUCUCCCUCCUCAGGGCUCAAGCCCCUCAGCCAUGGCGUGACCUGUGUCUCCGGGGACUGCCCCUGUGCCCUAGACCAUCAGCUCCACAAGGAUUUAAUUAUUAAUUUGAGAGAGAGCUCGUAAGUAUACGGCUGGAUGAAUUUGUAGAAGCUGAACAUACCCAUGGACCCCAGUGCUCAGAAGCCCCCUUGGGACUCCCUCACUACCCCCAGAGAAACCUCUCUCCGGACCCCCAACCCCCUGGGCGACCUCGGCCUGCUUCUAAGCUGACCUUGGCUAGAGCCACACACUGUGUGGUCUUCUGUGUCUGCCUGCUUCUGCUCGAUACCAGACUGCGUGAAGGAAGGGAGUUUCAACUAAUGCGUCCAAUGUGUGAGCUCCUGGAACACCUCCAAACCUGCCCCUCCUCCAGUCUGCCCCGCAACUGCCUCCUUCCAGAAUUGGGCAAACCUCAGCCCUACCAGCUCUCACCCAGCAGCCAAUCGAUCAGAAAAUUCUGUCACUAUCCCUGGGAAUCACCCCUCGCCCGCCCAGUUGCUGUGACCUGAUCUGAGCCAACAUCAUCAAUGCUGGGAUACUUGCAAUGGCAUCUGGUCUCAUCCCCUUCAUUCUAUUCCCAGUACAGUAGCCAGUGAUUUUUAUCAAAAAGUAAGUUAGAUUAUGUCACAUUCCUACCUUCACCCUGGUGAAUCUGGGGAAAAGCCACAGUCCUUUCUGAUUGUCCCAUCUGCACCCAAACAUCAUCUCCUGUGCCUCUCAUUGGGUUCUAGCCACACUGACUUCCUGUUCUUUGUGUAUAAAGUAUACAUGCCUAUCUCAGGGCCUUUGCACUUGUGGUUCCUCUGCUUGGAAUGCAGAGGAAAACCUCCCCUCAAUGUCUCCAUGGUUUGCUCCUCACCUUCUUCAGGUUUCACUUAUAUAUUAUCUUCUUGGAGAAGCUUUUACUAACUACCAAAUUAAAAAUUACAGAACAUACCGAGGGCCCAGAUCUUACUUUCUCAUAUUCUCCAGUAAAAGGAACCAGGGACUCUUGAGAAAUGGCUGAUUCUAGAACUGAGGGUGGAGAUACACAAGAUGAGCCCAGGGCAUCUUAUAAUGCCAGGAAGUAAGGAAAUGCUAAAGAAAUAAACAAAUAAAUAAAUUAAGGAGGGAUGUAGGACCCAGAUGAAAGAGGUCCCAAAAGGCAAAGCUAGAAGAAAUGGAGCAACAAAUGGCAUAUUAUUGCAUUAUAACCCAAAUGUAAAAUAAACAUCCAUGAGUCCAUUAUAAAUAAGUGAUUGGAUCAAUUAAUAAGUGGACAAGAGGUAAAUCUCCCGUGCAAAAGAAUUCCAAAUCAUUUAUGUAGAUACGUCACCCGAAAUGGGGGAGCAUGAUUUCUGCUCCUUAAGUGUGGGCUGCCCACAGCUACUUCCUUCCCGAGAGGACAGCAUAAAAAGGGGGAUGCGGGGGAGAAACUUUGCAGUGGAGAAAUCUGGUGAACUCCCGGUCAGCGCCAGGAGCUACCAGUCACGUUGCUAGUAUGUACCCUUAAUGUGACAGGUGACAAACAUGGCACCUGAGCUCUGCGAUCCUGCUCCUGGAAACCCAGAGCCCCAGGCUGAUGAUGAGAAAAACAUGAAGCCGUUUCCAGUACAGAACGCUUGACCAGUACGCUGCAAAACUGUCAAGUUUGAGGGAAGGGAAGUCUGAGAAAGCUGCCACAGCCAGGACCUGUGGCUGAAGACUACUAAGUAGAAUGGACUCCUGGAUGGACUCCUGGAAAAAAAAAAAGGAAGUUAGGUAAACCGAGGAAAAGUGAAUAAACUACAGACAUUAGUCAAUAAUGGUGUAUUAAUAUGGGCUCAUUGAUCGUAACAAAUGCAGCAUUAAAAUGUAAGAGAUGGUGUAAGUCAAUAACAGAAGGAACCAUAUGUAGAAGUAUUUUGGGAGAACUGUUUGUACUAUCUUAAUUUUUCUAUAGACCUAAACCUGCUAUAAAAAAAAAAAAUCAAUCAAAAAUGGCAGCCCCCCCCCCAAUACCCCAU